rnacentral:rRNA from 1 species
GACGAACGCUGGCGGCGUGCUUAACACAUGCAAGUCGAACGGAAAGGCCCUGCUUUUGUGGGGUGCUCGAGUGGCGAACGGGUGAGUAACACGUGAGUAACCUGCCCUUGACUUUGGGAUAACUUCAGGAAACUGGGGCUAAUACCGGAUAGGAGCUCCUGCUGCAUGGUGGGGGUUGGAAAGUUUCGGCGGUUGGGGAUGGACUCGCGGCUUAUCAGCUUGUUGGUGGGGUAGUGGCUUACCAAGGCUUUGACGGGUAGCCGGCCUGAGAGGGUGACCGGCCACAUUGGGACUGAGAUACGGCCCAGACUCCUACGGGAGGCAGCAGUGGGGAAUACUGCACAAUGGGCGGAAGCCUGAUGCAGCAACGCCGCGUGCGGGAUGACGGCCUUCGGGUUGUAAACCGCUUUCGCCUGUGACGAAGCGUGAGUGACGGUAAUGGGUAAAGAUGCACCGGCUAACUACGUG